GAUUCUUCCAAGUGGCAACUCUCUCUCUCUCUCUCUCUAAAAGGCGUGACUGAAUUAUAUUAAUUCUUCACUCCCAGUCCUAAAUGCCUCUAUAUAUACCUCUCAUUCUGAUCAUCUCCGCUCACACAACACAACUCACAAUUGAUUUCUCUCUGCUUCUUCACGCACACGUCACUCACAAACUCUCUUUUCUUUCUGCUCAGUUAUCACUUUUCUCCUUUUUGCUUUCAAAAUGGCCAGUGCUGAGGUUGCCCAGGCUCCAGCAGUGACAGAGAAUGAAGCAACCGAGGUAACCAAGGUCGAGGAGACAACCCCAGAAAAAGCUCCGGCAGCCACCGAGGCUGCUGUCCCAGAAGCAGAAGACAGAGCAACCAAAGGACGAGGAAAUCAGUGAAGCAGCAAAAGAAGCGGAAGCAAAACCAGAAGAAUCUGCAGAAACGCAGGCCCCUGUUGAAGUUGAGACCAAGGAAGUUACACAAGAAGAAGUGAAGGAGGAAGCCAAGUCUGAAGAAGCUAAACCGGAGGAAGUCAAACCUGAGCAAACAGAGGAAGUGAAGACGGAAGAGGCUGAAAACAAGAGGAAGCUAAGGAAACUGCUAAAACACAGGAAGAAGCAGCAGAACCAGAAGCACCGAAAGAAGAAGUGAAGGAAGAAGCUACUGAGGAGAAGAAAGAAGAAAAGGAGGAAGAAGCCAAAGAAGCCACUGUUGAGAAGACUGGAGCUUGAGCUUGAGCUUGAGCUUCAAUGGAGAAGGGGAAACAAAAAAGCCUAGUUGUUGGCACUCAGGUCUCACUUUUCUUUUUUUGCAUGUCAAAGUUGAAAAGCUUUUCUGUUCAUUAAUGUUCCUAGUUUAUUUUACUGCUAUUUUGUCAUUAACGCGGUGGUGAAGUUAAGUAUUUGGACGGGGCUUAAAUUUUAUUAUAUUUUAAAAAAAAUGGAGGAAUAGUAUGCCUACAUGUAAGCACAUGGCUCCACGUCAUCAGACACAGAGCUGUGCCAUGUGUUGGGUAUGAGUACGCAGUAACUCUAUGGGUUUUUGUAUUGAAGUGAGGUGGCUACUGCUAGAGUUUUGUGGAUGAUGGUGUGUUUAUCUAGGUUUGAAUAAAUCAUGAUUUUAUUAUUUUUAUUAA